CUACUAGGCCCGGCCUCUUCUGUCUUUUUGUAGUGGUGACGUGUGGCAAAUGGAUUGUAAAUGAAGAUAGACUGUGUAAUGAAUGACGACACUAAAGACUAAUGUGAAGGACUUUAGGGAAAACAAAAGGCUUUCAUCUGAAAGGAUGAUCUGUGGACCAAGGUCACUCAUACCACUCACUGCUCAUUUUCUCAUGUUAUUUUAAAACUUUUUUCGGCCUUUAUACUGCUUUCAGCAGCAUUUGUGUGUAAGAAGUGGA
rnacentral:lncRNA from 10 species